GAAAUGCGAUAAGUAAUGUGAAUUGCAGAAUUCAGUUAAUCAUCGAAUCUUUGAACGCACAUUGCGCCCGCCAGUAUUCUGGCGGGCAUGCCUGUUCGAGCGUCAUUACAACCCUCAGGCCCCCGGGCCUGGCGUUGGGGAUCGGCGGAAGCCCCCUGCGGGCACAACGCCGUCCCCCAAAUACAGUGGCGGUCCCGCCGCAGCUUCCAUUGCGUAGUAGCUAACACCUCGCAACUGGAGAGCGGCGCGGCCACGCCGUAAAACACCCAACUUCUGAAUGUUGACCUCGAAUCAGGUAGGAAUACCCGCUGAACUUAAGC
rnacentral:misc_RNA from 1 species